rnacentral:lncRNA from 1 species
GCUGGGCAUGGUGGCACAAGUCUAUAAUCCCAGUGAUUGGGAGGUUGAGGCAGGAGGAUUGCGAACUCAAAGCCAGCCUCAGCAACAGCAAGGUGCUAAGCAACUCAGUGAGAUCCUGUCUCUAAAUAAAAUACAAAAAAAAGGAAGGGGAUGUGGCUCAGUGGUCAAGUGUCCCUGAGUUCAAUCCCCACAUACCAAAAAAGAAAAGAAAAUGUAAAUGCAUAGAUGGUGACACAUCAAAUUAGUGGUUGACAGGGGCCGUAGAAUAGGAGGGAAGAGUUUCAAUGGGGUACUAGGCAUCUUUUGAGAGUCAUAGAUAUAUUCAUUAUCUUGAAUAUGUGAUGGUUUCACUGGUAUGUUGUGUUCAUACUUAUUAAAUUCCACGUAUCAAAUAUAUACACCUUAUUAUAUGUCAAUUAUAGUUCAAUAAUCUUUUUAAAAUUUAAAAUGUAGCAAGAUAAAUAUGUAAUAGUCCCAUCAUCCAGCUUCAAUUAUUUUCAGCAUUCCGCUCUUCUCUUUCAAGGAUUUUGCUCUCAAGGGGAGCAGGGAAAUGGUCUGUGCUUAGAAAAAUCUGACAUCACACAAGAAUUUUUAAUUUUUACUAAGGUGGGACUUGCUACAGUGUGCUCAUAUGUAGAUGAGGGGAGAGGACAAACUGACACAAGAGUAAGAAGAAAUGACUAAGAGUCCUUGAGUGGCAGGAGAGUCUGGCUGGUGUUAUGUGUGCAAGGGAGGGAUGAGCCGAGGAGAAGAGAAUAGUUCAUUUAUAACAGAAGGGAAGACAAAGACAUGAAUAGGUUCACUUAAUAGGUCACACUGACUCUUUGUUACUGAUGAUGAUAAUAUCAGUAAUUGAAAUGAGAAUAGUUAAUAGGCCUUUGUAUUCAUUAAUAAGAUGAGUCACACAAAUUUAGCAGUGCUUGAGUUUCUUGGAUGAAGUUUUCAACAAAGUCAUCAAUAAGUAUGUUAUAGGUACAGAUUUCUCUGUAUUUUCAGCAAAGAAAAGACAAUGGCCCUAAUCCCAACUCUCAUUUGGUCUGAAUUGGAGUAAUCAAUUACGCUAGAUGUUGGAAAUUCCUGUCUAUAUAUUCAGUGUAAAAAUUAAAUUGCCAUCCAAUGUUUUUUCAGUGUUGUGAUAUUUUACAAGUAAUUACUUUUGUUUCCUGUUUCCUGACACCUUGUUAAUACCAUCAUCAUCACUUUCACCACCACUAUCUUACACAACAAAGGUAACAACAAUUACCAUUUAUUAAGUGUUGCUAGGCGUCACUAUCUCCAUCUUCAUAACAGACCUGUAAGGUAGAUGGUAAGAUUAGCCCCUGUUGACAGUUGUGGAAAAUUAGGCAUCAGAGUUAGGCUAUUAUGCCAAUGUCACACCUCAGAAGUAUGAGAGCUAGAAUGAAAAUCCAAGUCCACGUGACUCUAAAGUUCUUGCUCUGAAGAAUUAUUAGGCUCUAUCAUUGCUCCUUAUAAAUGAGAAGUUUUACUGGCAAGAGUAGAUAUAUUCAUAUUUCUCUCCAAUUCUAAUUUAUUGUAAAGAUCACAUUUUGACAAUGAUAAAAGAACUCAGAAGAAUGAAAAUAAUUAAUAGUUCUGACAUCCUGUUGCAACAACUGUUUUCAUUUUUCUCCAUUUCCUUUUGAUCCUUAUCCAUAUGUACAUAUUUUGCAUAGCUGUAGAUGCGAU